rnacentral:tRNA from 1 species
GGCCAGGUGGCGAAGGGGUAACGCGAUGGUCUGCAAAACCAUUAUGCAGGGGUUCGACUCCCCUCCUGGCCU